CCCAGCCUCUCUCAGGUUGGAUGGAGCACUGGGACAGCUGCCCAGGGCAGUGGUGGAGUCCCCAUCCUGUGAGGGAUUUAAAAGCCAGGCAGACAAAGUGCUCAGGGAUGGUUUAGUAGUGAACAGCCCAGGGAGACGAUUGGACUGUGUCAAUUGUGAGGCUGCCAUCAGUCACAGCUUUGAUGGGGUUUGCCCGAAACACAAGCUGGAGGAGAAAGUGAAGCGGGGCUUUAGCCAGGGAUUUGUGCAGCUCAAUCCGUGCUCUGACCCUGACAGCCAUCCCAAAAAAACAUGCACUCGUAUGACCUCCCCAUGGUGGGGACGAUAAGGACAGAGCAGCAGCUGAAGCCGUCUCUGACAAGCGUCAGAGCAGGACCAGCACCAGGGAGAGGCCACUAGCCCAGCGCUUCUUUGGGCAGAUGUCUGGAAGGAAAUCAGCUGGGAAAAGUGAAACAUGGAGCUGGGUCAUUGUCACCAAGGGCUUACUGCAUCGAGCAAGGAAUGUGUGGUGGCACUGGAUGGUGUCUGGGUCAUGAGCUCAAAUCCCUUCUGAGACUUCAAAUGCUGCCUCUGGAAUCGUGAUCCCAUCUAACCUUUCUGCAGUCACCAGGCUGUUAUUCUGAGCAUCCUUCUUAUAUCCUCUGUGCUUCUUGGCUUAAAACUCUUCCCCCAAAGCCCUCGAGUUGCUUUUCCAGAUCCCAUGGUUGAGGUUUCAGACUGCUAAGGCUGCAACAGCAUUUUCUCCUGAGGGCGAUGGCAAAGCUGCUGCACCAGCUGGAGUCCCCGGCAGCACUGGGAUUCUCCAUGACUGCUGGCGAUGCUCAUGGCUGCGGGUGUUUAAUACCACAUUGCCUGGAGCGGAUUCCCCUUGGAUUCACCUGCAGUGAGUCUGAGCUCACGGGCAGAGUGAUGGAUACAGGCACCACAUACUAAGAGGAUUCUGGAAGCCACCCAGGCACUGGCAGUGGGGCACUGUGAGAUGAAUUCCACCUUAUCCCUGUGUCUCCUCCUUCUCUCACUCUUUCCCAGCCGCACAAGUGGCAGCAGAAGUGUUUGACUGUGGUGGUGGGGCAUUGCUGAGGGGCACUGCGUGAGCAGUGCUUAG